rnacentral:lncRNA from 1 species
UUCAUUCAUUAAUUAUUAAAUUUUAAAUCUACUAUAGGAAUUACUUGGAAUUGAUUAUGGUUUGAUUUAGGCUUAGAGUUAGGAUUUUGGGUUGAUUUAAGGUUUGAUUAAGGUUAAAGUUUGGUUAGAGUUAGGAUUAGGAUUUUAGAUUUGAUUUAAGGUUUAAUUAGGAUUAAGGUUUGGUUUAGGUUAAGGUUUGGUUAGGAUUUAUCUAGGAUUUGACUAGGAUUUGUUUAAGAUUUAUUUUGAAUUUGAUUAGGAUUUGUCUAGGAUAUGAUUAGGAUUUUAUUAAGAUUUGAUUAGGAUUUGUUUAUAAUUUGAUUAUAAUUUGAUUAAGAUUUGAUUAAAAUUUGACUAAGAUUUGAUUAGAACUUAUUUAAGAUUUGUGUAGGAUUUAACUAAGAUUUAUUUAGAAUUUGAUUAGGAUUUAUUUAAGAUUUGAUUAAUAUUUGAUUAGAAUUUUUUUAGUAUUUGAUUAGGAUUUGAUUAGAAUUUGACUAGGAUUUGAUUAGAAUUUGUUUAGGAUUUGAUUAGAACUUAUUUAGGAGUUGACUAAGAUUUGACAAGGAUUUGACUAAGGUUCGACUAAAGUUUGAUUAGAUUUUGAUUGAGAUUUAAUUAAAUUUUUUAUUUUAAUUUUUUAGUAAGAUUUUUAUUUUAGUAUAUAUUUUUUGAAUUUCUAU